rnacentral:rRNA from 1 species
AGUGAACGCUGGCGGUAGGCCUAACACAUGCAAGUCGAACGGCAGCACAGGAGAGCUUGCUCUCUGGGUGGCGAGUGGCGGACGGGUGAGGAAUACAUCGGAAUCUACUCUGUCGUGGGGGAUAACGUAGGGAGACUUACGCUAAUACCGCAUACGACCUACGGGUGAAAGCAGGGGAUCUUCGGACCUUGCGCGAUUGAAUGAGCCGAUGUCGGAUUAGCUGGUUGGCGGGGUAAAGGCCCACCAAGGCGACGAUCCGUAGCUGGUCUGAGAGGAUGAUCAGCCACACUGGAACUGAGACACGGUCCAGACUCCUACGGGAGGCAGCAGUGGGGAAUAUUGGACAAUGGGCGCAAGCCUGAUCCAGCCAUACCGCGUGGGUGAAGAAGGCCUUCGGGUUGUAAAGCCCUUUUGUUGGGAAAGAAAUCCAGCUGGCUAAUACCCGGUUGGGAUGACGGUACCCAAAGAAUAAGCACUGGCUAACUUCGUGCCAGCCGCCGCAGUAA